UGAGCAGGCUGUGUGAUAGCGUGGCGUUUGCCAUGAGGAAAGUCCGAGCAUCAUAGGACGGGAUAGCUGCUAACGGCAGCCGGAGGCGACUCUAGAGCUAGUGCAACAGAGAGAUACCGCCGUACUUCGGUACGGUAAGGGUGGAAAGGUGCGGUAAGAGCGCACCAGAGUGCAGGAGACUGCACUGCUAUGUAAACCUUAUCCGAUGCAACGCCUAUUGGUACGCACUGCCGCAACAUCGGUCCGGUGGGCAGCGGCGUAAUGGCGGCUUGAACUGUGAGGCGACUUGCAGGCUAGAUAAAUUAUCACACACGACAGAACUCGGCUUAUAGGUCUGGUCAUAAG
rfam:Ruminococcus sp. CAG:330, WGS project CBIH01000000 data, contig: 215